rnacentral:lncRNA from 1 species
UAUUCCUAUGCAGUACAGCUCCAGUCAUUUGCAAGGCUCUACUCUUCUGCUUUGAGGAAGAAUUAAUUCUCAUUUUGCAUCUGGUGCAGUGAUGACACAGGCCACAAAGAGAAGGUGAGGCUCACAACAGGAGCAGGCUUUGAGGUUCAGGCAGGGAGAGUCAGAUUCAUCAUAUCAUAAAUAUUCAAUUACCUACAUAGAGACUUCAGUGGCAAUUAGCUGGGCUGCUCAUGCUCCCUAGCAUUGUGCAGCUAUACUGUAUUCUGCUAUCACUAAAUAUUUGCUGUUUUCCCCUCAUGCAGAUUCCAAAGGUUUUAAAAGAUUUGGAAACCAAACUAAAUUCAAAUUUACUAUCAGCUGUUCCUAAGUGUGCAUGUGAAAGGCUUUCUGCCAGCGGUUUUCCACUGCUGGGAAGCUUUGCCCUGCACUCCUUGAUGGACUAUGUGAAUGUGCAGAACACAGGUUUUGCAUUUAUUUCUCCCUGCCAAGCCAGGUUCUAAAAGCAGUACAAAGCAUUCUGCAGAACUGAUCCCAAAGCUGUCAAUAUCCAUCAGACUCCCUAAUUUUUUCUCUCCUCUUUCCAUCCCUGUGCUUUCAAGGGUACAAGAGCUGCUCAUUUCCAAGCACCUCUGUAGCCCUCAUCAGGCUCAAAAGAACAGCAAUUUCCUCAUUUUUGAAGGGCUUUUCUUCUCCUUCCUUUCCCUCAUUCAUCUCAUCACAUGAAGUUUUCCUUCUCGUGGCCCAUCACUCUACCUUUACUUUCUUCUCCAUAGCUCAUCACAUCUAUUUAUUUCUCCUCAGCUCCUGUCUCCACAUGUCUACCCAUUCCUCCCCCUCCAGCUCCCUUCUGCCUCCCUCCUACGGACAGCAGCACUGUAGAAUGAGGUUUUGUGAGAAACAGACUUCAUUCCCUCUGUCUCCCCAAUUCUAUGCCUUUGUUUAACAAUCUUUGCCCCUUGCAGGGAGUUUUCUACUUGCCACCAGCUCCUCCCCGGGCUGGGAAGGGGAAGCAGACAUCAUGACACCAGCAAAUAAGGAGAGAAAGGAAAAGAAAAGCACUCUGAAUUCCUGCCUAACAAAGUCCUUGGCUGGUUCUGCUUGCUGCAGCUCAAGGAGAGCGCAGGAGGGAGCCAAGUGCCAGCACAGCACGCAGCGCUUCAGCUCAAGAUGCAGCAAGGUGAAAGCAGCUCCUUCAAGGUCAGAGGGAGACCUUGUCUCUUGUAUGGACCUUGGGCAUUUGCCAUAGGCUUCGUGCAAUAACUACAAUAAAUAAUGUCACAACAGGCUAACUCUUGAGUCAUCAUAUUUACUUAUAAGCAUUUUACCCCUUCAGUAUAUUACGGUUAUCAUAAUUCAGCAUCUCUGCUGCUGGUCCACCUGCUCCUCUGCAACUUGUUGUCUGCCGAGACUGGUCCUGUACUUGAACAGGCCUGCCAGCAUCACCAAGUUGUUGUAAUUUUAACAUGUUUUUCCAGUGCUGAGUCCCCAGCCUAGGUGGAUGCAGCUUUUGAAUGCCAGAAUUCUCUGGGCUCCCUCACGAGCUGUCACAGCUUAUAAGAAGUCUCAUUUUCAUCUCCUGUUACAAGCUUUCUAUGCUCCUUUCUCCAACCACACCUCCCCUAUUUUAUUCCAUUAUUAGAAAAAUCACUGUCCACGAAGAGAUGCAAAGGAUUCUGCUUAGAUAUUUCUUCUCCUAAUAAUGUUUAUAGUGCCCUA